rnacentral:rRNA from 1 species
AGCAGAGUAAAUCGUAUCUGAGGACACGAUGGGAAGCAUCUACCAGACGGCUCGACAGUAGACGAAGCUGAACGACCGAUAGAUACCAGUAGUCAGCGUACCUAUGCGCGUAGGUGUCUGUACUACGAGUACAGGGUGCGGAAGUGAAACGUGCACACCGUCCGCUGGAGUACGUAGCAAAGACAUGAAACUAAAAGAAUUGCCGGGGGAGCACACAACGGUGAGCUGCGGGUUGGGGUGGGGGUCGGCGCGGGCAGCUCACGGAUAGGACAGCGAAUGAUAGCCGGGCUGAAGACCUUGCUUGACCAGCUGAGAGGAGGUGCAUGGCCGUCGUCAGUUCGUACUGUGAAGCAUCCUGUUUAGAAAAAGAAAAAAACGAGACCCACGCCAACAGUUGCUAGCAUGUUCUCCGGAAUGAUGAGGACACUGUUGGGACCGCCUCUGCUAAAGAGGAGGAAGGAAUGGGCAACGGUAGGUCAGCAUGCCCCGAAUUAUCCGGGCUACACGCGGGCUACAGUGGUCAGGACAAUGGGAAACGGCACUGAAAAGUGUAGUCAAUCUCCUAAACCUGGGGGCAAAUUCGGAUUGUGGGCUGCAACUCGCCCACAUGAAGCUGGAAUCCGUAGUAAUCGCGUUCAAAACAGCGCGUGAAUACCCUCUCCUGCACACCCUAAUUCUCCGCCCAUAGCUCAGACCUGCAUGCAAG